rnacentral:rRNA from 1 species
UACAGAGGUCUCGAGCGUUGUUCGGAUUCAUUGGGCGUAAAGGGCGCGUAGGCGGGCGGGGUAAGUCUGGUGUGAAAGUCUCGGAGCAUCAACUCCGAAAUUGCACUGGAUACUGCUCUGCUAGAGGGCUGGAGAGGAGGAUCGGAUUCACGGUGUACAGAUGAAAGCGGUAGAUAUCGUGAGGAAGACCAGUGGCGAAGGCGGAUCUCUGGACAGCUCCUGACGCUGAGGCGCGAAGGCUAGGGGAGCAAACGGG